rnacentral:tRNA from 1 species
GCGGGCAUCGUAUAAUGGCUAUUACCUCAGCCUACUAAGCUGAUGAUGCGGGUUCGAUUCCCGCUGCCCGCUCCA